rnacentral:rRNA from 1 species
GAUGAACGCUGGCGGCGUGCCUAAUACAUGCAAGUCGAGCGAACAGACGAGGAGCUUGCUCCUCUGACGUUAGCGGCGGACGGGUGAGUAACACGUGGAUACCCUACCUAUAAGACUGGGAUAACUUCGGGAAACCGGCGCUAAUACCGGAUAAUAUAUUGAACCGCAUGGUUCAAUAGUGAAAGACGGUUUUGCUGUCACUUAUAGAUGGAUCCGCGCCGCAUUAGCUAGUUGGUAAGGUAACGGCUUACCAAGGCAACGAUGCGUAGCCGACCUGAGAGGGUGAUCGGCCACACGGGAACGGAGACACGGUCCAGACUCCUGCGGGAGGCAGCAGUAGGGAAUCGUCCGCAAUGGGCGAAAGCCUGACGGAGCAACGCCGCGUGAGUGAUGAAGGUCUACGGAUCGUAAAACUCUGUUAUUAGGGAAGAACAAAUGUGUAAGUAACUAUGCACGUCUUGACGGUACCUAAUCAGAAAGCCACGGCUAACUACGUG